GUGUUGCUACAGUAAUCGGGUGUAUUUCUCCUUCUUCCUCGCGAGAGAGACCAGAUUUUCUGGUUCUCUCUCUCUCUCCGCACACACUCACCUUCAAGCGACAAUUUCGCCGCCAUCCGAGAUCCGUUUUGAGUGAAAUUUGUUGCAAAAGUUUCGUAUCGUUGUCCUCUACCUAACCCAGCCCAGCUCCGACGCCAGCCGCAGCGAAACCACAGGAAAAUUCGAAGGAAGUUGCCGGUUUUGACAGAAUUUUCCAAGCUUACGUUCUCCCUCAAUUCUCCACCAAAUCGGACGUGUGAGGCACUCGGGCACCAGUUGACCCACAGGAGGGACCUUCCAAAGGUCCAGCGAGCUUGGACCAACCGCUGUAGACGUGCAUCCGAGAGCCACCACAGAACAUUCCCCGCUUACC